AUUGAACGCUGGCGGAAUGCUUUACACAUGCAAGUCGAACGGUAGAGGGGGCAACCCCUCGAGAGUGGCGAACGGGUGAGUAACAUAUCGGAACGUGCCCAGUCGUGGGGGAUAACGUAGCGAAAGUUACGCUAAUACCGCAUACGAUCUACGGAUGAAAGCGGGGGAUCGCAAGACCUCGCGCGCUUGGAGCGGCCGAUAUCAGAUUAGGUAGUUGGUGGGGUAAAGGCUCACCAAGCCAACGAUCUGUAGCCGGUCUGAGAGGACGACCAGCCACACUGGAACUGAGACACGGUCCAGACUCCUACGGGAGGCAGCAGUGGGGAAUUUUGGACGAUGGACGCAAGUCUGAUCCAGCCAUUCCGCGUGCAGGAUGAAGGCCCUCGGGUUGUAAACUGCUUUUGUACGGAACGAAAAGGUUUCCAUUAAUACUGGGAGCUCAUGACGGUACCGUAAGAAUAAGCACCGGCUAACUACGUGCCAGCCGCCGCGGUAA
rnacentral:rRNA from 1 species